AUUGCCUACGGGACGCAGCAGUGAGGAAUAUUGGUCAAUGGUCGGGAGACUGAACCAGCCAAGCCGCGUGAGGGAUGAAGGUACAGAGUAUCGUAAACCUCUUUUGUCAGGGAACAAAGGCGGGGACGCGUCCCCGGAUGAGUGUACCUGAAGAAAAAGCAUCGGCUAACUCCGUGCCAGCAGCCGCGGUAAUACGGAGGAUGCGAGCGUUAUCCGGAUUUAUUGGGUUUAAAGGGUGCGCAGGCGGUCUGUUACGUCAGCGUUCACAGCCCGGGGCUCCACCCCGGCCCGCCGUUGACACUGGC
rnacentral:rRNA from 1 species